GGCUGCCUCUACUGGUGCGCACUUAUACACCACACAAAACUUCAAAACCAUAAUUGCCCUAUUGGUAAUCCGACGAUUGCGUACUUUACCAUCGUCAGUGAACGAUGCAAGCGGAAUGUAAGUUCUGUGUAGAAUUGUAUUAUACUUUAAGGCCCUUAGAAGCAGUUGCCUGCCUUCUAGCCGUAACCGAAGGGUUGAGAGCUCUCGGCUGAACUUCGUGUUGUCAUCUACCGCUGUUUGCACCACUGUCAUUUGCCAUUUGAUGCGGCACACACAUCCGGUAUGCUAAGCUCUACGCUCAUUGCUCGUAUAUAACAGUACUCGGCGGCAGCAUUGAGUUUAGUAUUCGUGUUAUAUUCACAAUGUGCGCUUAAAAACAGUGCUACAACGACGGUCGGUUAAUGAACAAGUAAACUUAAGUAUAAAAAAAUCAAAGAGAUUUGGUUGAACAAGUCAGUCAAUCAACCUACUGUAUAUAUUGCGAUGAGAAAUCGAAAUAAAAAUCAACAAGCUACAUAAGAAAGUGAUUUGAAAUUGGAAUCUGUUUAAAAUUUAAAUGUAAAAUGUAUUUUUGUAAAAUUACAGCUUCGUUGCAAAUAAGUGGAAGUAGUUAUUAUUAAGUGCCCCCGGCGUUCUUAAAAAAUGUGAAAUUAAUUAUACGCCGGGAUUCUGCACAGUAAAAAAAUAUAUAUAGAUACAAUUGUAUAUAUUCGAAUUAUGUUAAUAUGCAGAUAUUUGCGAUUGCAGUUUCGGAAAAUCGGGAUAUACUCCAUUGCUCUACUUUCGUAGGGUUAAAAGUGAGCAGUACAAAGAGCAGAACGAAGUGAAAUUCAGUUAAACAAGUCGAAAAUGUAUACAUAAAUAAAAGAUUAAAAGGCAGAGGCUCUGUAUGGAAAGUGGAGUGGGACCUCUAUGUAAUUACGGGAAUCUUGCACAAAUUGCAAGGGAAUAAAUUGCACUGUACCCCAUUUUUUUGUUCACAGCCGCCCGCCCCAAGAUGCCAAUAAAAUAUAGAAUUUCGUUUGUUAAGUUUGUGUGCGGUAAAUCGUAAGUUUCUUUGUUUAUGCGGGCUGCUGGUUGAUGCUUUCAUUGUUUUGAUUCGCUAUACUCCGCGUCAGUGUAUAUCCGCAAUCAGUGUUCCUUCUGAGUUUUCUCAGUGCUUACCUUUCAAAUAUAACUGCAACAACAUACCUAAGAGUGUAUAUACAUAUGUACAUAUAACUAGUAUGUAUCUGUUUCUAGUAAAAUCAUUUUUUCGGUGUGUCAGUGUAAAAAAGAAAUGCGACUCAGAAUAAGGCGUCAUGCAACAAAUUGUUUUCCGGUGGCUUGCCAUAAUCUGAAGACAGCAUAUGGCCAAACAAAACAACGCCUUCA